rfam:Schistosoma rodhaini strain Burundi genome assembly, scaffold: SROB_scaffold0000657
AUCUAGCUAAAGAGUCCCAAAUAGAAUGAAACGUGUGUCCUGGAU